rnacentral:rRNA from 1 species
GUAUUGUAAUAAGAUUUUAAUUGAAUGCUAAAAGAAUGGAAAUUUAAAAAAAAACUUUUUUAAAAAUAAAAAUUGAAUUUUUUUUAAUUUGUGCAAAAACAAUUAUACUUAUUAAAGACAAGAAGACCCUAAGAAUUUAAGAUUUUACAAUUAAAAAGUUUUUUUUUUAAAAUCUUGAUUGGGGCGAUCAAAAAAUAUUAAUAACUUUUUAAAAUUUAAAUUGAUCUAUUAUUAAUAAACUAAUGAAUUAAAUACUCUAGGGAUAACAGCGUAAUAAUUUUUGAUAGAUCUUAUUGACAAAAUAGUUUGCGACCUCGAUGUUGGAUUAGGAUUCUUUUUUAAUGAAGAAGUUAAAAAAAGAAGUUUGUUCAACUUUUAAAUUCCUACUUGAUCUG